UUUAGAAUAUGAUGAGAGUGUCAGAGAUCUGCUCUCUGUCCUGCACUCGGUCUCUGGUCUGAAGGAAUUGGAUCUUGUCUUCAGAUUCAUGACUGUGGAUGGAGCAUCCAGAGUCCUUAACCUCUUUCAGACAAACACCAGUCUGACUGCAUUAGAUUUUGGGGCAGUCGAGCGGCCUGAGAUAAGUAAGGCGAACUUCAAGAAGGACCACAGGAAUGAAUUCUUCAGGUCUCAGUCUGCAGGACAGAUGUCAGAUGACAGUGAUGAAGAUGGCAUGUCCUCACCUCUCAGUGACUGCAGCGAUGAAAUCAACCAAAGUGAUUCUUAUGAACUGGACAGCGUGGAGCGUAUUGUCUGCUCAGAUCUCAGGAUGUGGAGGAGAUUAUCAGGGCAAUGCAGCUUGUUUUUGAAGUGCACCAGCUCCAGUCCCAGGACAAAGUCACUGUUCUCAAGCAUAGAGCUCACCCUGUCUGAAAACUCAGAAAAAACUAGCAGUGACUGGAAAAACUUUCUUAAAGCAUAUAUUCAAUGCAAAGGGAUCUCUAUAAUAAGUCCUACAUUUGACGAGACUGUGGAUGCUCUGCUGUUGUCCCUGCACUCAGUGUCUGCUGUGAACAAGGUGCAAUUGACGACCGACAGCCUGACUGAGAACUUGGCUGCAAAGAUCCUCUCUAUGUGUCACACGUGUCCCAGUCUCCAUAACAUCUGUUUGCAGGUGGAGUACAGUAAGAGAUACAGUGAGCUCAAUGUGUGUUCCUCUCUCAGCGUCACCAGAAACACAGACUCCACCUUGACAGUCGACAUUCAGUUGGCCCGUGACAGCAUGACUGAAAUAACUCCAUCAUUCAUUUCAUUCAUAUCACCAUGUUCAGAGAUUCCUAAACUGGAUGGAAGGGAACUCUUUGAAACUCUUGACAUCCUUAAAGGUUUAGAAGAAGGAUGUGAAGAGCAUGAAGAGCUUGUGGGUGAUUUGAUGUCCACCUUGCUCUCCGUUCCUGGUCUGCAGAAGGUCAGACUCAAGAUCAGCAGUCUAACAGAGAACUGGGUGAAGAGGAGUCUGUCGUUAACUGAAGUCUGUCCCAGUCUUCAGGAGAUCAGGUAUGAGGAUAAUUAAAAGAAAUUGCUGUUUGUCCUUAAAUGCAGUUGUUUUUUAGUUUUUUUGAGACUUCCAUUAAAAAUGGAAAUAAUGGUAUUGAAAUGUUAAUGUUUCAGAUAUGACUGCAUAGAAAGUGGUGGCUUGUUGUUUGAGGAGGUAGAAAAUAUUCUGCUGAGCUCUCAGAUGGAUUCAGAUUGCAGGAUAAUUAUCACAGGGUCUGUCCUAUAAAAUUAUUUAACCAUUUAUUAUUUCUAGUUUUAUUAUCACCUAUUGCUCCAUUAAUGGUUUAAUAAUUGAUGUUCAAUCUCUUUGAAGGAUGAAGCGCAGUAAAGCCAUGAAUGGGUGCACUGAAAUCAUGAUGGACACAUCCAGAUCAUCAUCAGCCUGUGAUGAGAAAGUGAAAGUCACCUUUUUCAGAGACUCUCUCACAAGACAAUUCACAAUAGAUAACACUGAGACAGAAGACACUAAUGACGACGAGCCUGAGGACCCUGAGGAUGAAGACUUUAUCUUUCUUUAGAGAUGAAUGGCAGAAAAUGAAUCCAAUAUUAAGACUGUUUAGUAAAAAUACAUAGUUCCAUAUAUUUUUAUUCAUCUUAAUAUUUUUAAUGACAGUUUUAUUGUCACAAAAAACUUUAGCUUUACUGUAUGUUAUAAGAUGAAAUUAACCAGGGAUGUCAUGAUAUAAAUGUUGAAUACAGUGUGAUCAUAGGAGCAGCUACAUGUGCCCUUGGCUCUUCAAUGCUCCUUUGACAACUUGCUGAUUUUGAAACAAUAAGAUUUAUGUAAAAGUAAUGGCAUUUAUGUGCAUUAAAGACAAUGUUAUUCACUAAAUAGUAAUAAACUAAUCGUAUACAGUUAUAGGCAAGACUCAAAGGGCCUCAUUUGAAUGAGUUAUAAAGAAAAAAUGUAUUCCAGUUGUCUGUAUUUUCCUUGAGCUUUUUGGAAUACCUUAUAGGAUUGUGAUUUUGCCUUAGAUACUGGGAAAAUGCAACUGCUUUAAUAAUAUCACUAGCUUUCCGACAAGUCUGGAAUUCUGAGAAAAUACAAUUGCUUAAACUCUUCUCGUGCUUUUAAUGUUUUUAGCAGCUGUUGUCCUCUGUUGUUUUGCAGGCUCUCUGUUGGCUGUAACCAUCUGAAUUAUAUACAGGUGCAUCUCAAUAAAUUAGAAUGUCGUGGAAAAGCCCAGUGACCAGUUGAUGA
rnacentral:lncRNA from 1 species